UACGUAGAAGACUAGUGUUAUUCAUCUUUAAAUAGGUUUAAAGGGUACCUAGACGGUAUAAUUAGUCUUAAACAGGAUACGAUUAUACUAGAGUUAUAUAUGAGGAGGUGAGUAUUUAUGCAGUAGAGUUGAAAUUCGUUGAUAGCAUAACGACUGGUAACGGCGAAAGCAACCUUUUAUCUAAUAACCGGACGUGAGGGACGAAGGCUCCGGGUAACGAACAGG
rnacentral:rRNA from 1 species